rnacentral:lncRNA from 1 species
AAAUCAUUAAGGUAAAUACAAACAUAACAUUAAACAUCAUGCCCUCUUUACUCCCAUAUGCAAACAACUCCCUUACUUUGGUGUUAGCUCGUGUCACUCUAGCGACCUAGUAUAAGUGUGUCAUGAACAUCUUGCAAUAAAAUUAUGGAUACUUAUCAUAUGUAAUGAGGGAGAGGCAUACCCUAACACACUUUCCGUACUUAGAUCAUAUGAACUUAUGAUUGGACCUCUAGCAAGAAUCCGGAACUAUUAGAAAUCAUUAAGGUAAAUACAAACAUAACAUUAAACAUCAUGCCCUCUUUACUCCCAUAUGCAAACAACUCCCUUACUUUGAUGUAAGCUCGUGUCACUCUAGCGACCCAGUAAAAGUGUAUCAUGAACAUAUUGCAAAC